rnacentral:rRNA from 1 species
GACGAACGCUGGCGGCGUGCUUAACACAUGCAAGUCGAACGGAAAGGCCCUGCUUGCAGGGUACUCGAGUGGCGAACGGGUGAGUAACACGUGGGUGAUCUGCCCUGCACUUCGGGAUAAGCCUGGGAAACUGGGUCUAAUACCGGAUAGGAGCCAUUUUUAGUGUGAUGGUUGGAAAGUUUUUUCGGUGUAGGAUGAGCUCGCGGCCUAUCAGCUUGUUGGUGGGGUAAUGGCCUACCAAGGCGGCGACGGGUAGCCGGCCUGAGAGGGUGGACGGCCACAUUGGGACUGAGAUACGGCCCAGACUCCUACGCGAGGCAGCAGUGGGGAAUAUUGCACAAUGGGCGCAAGCCUGAUGCAGCGACGCCGCGUGGGGGAUGACGGCCUUCGGGUUGUAAACUCCUUUCGCUAGGGACGAAGCUUUUUGUGACGGUACCUAGAUAAGAAGCACCGGCUAACUACGUG